rnacentral:lncRNA from 1 species
UGAAUUACUGAUACCAGUUCAAAUCGGGUCUAAUGCACACAACCAUAUAGCCAAAAAGAAGAUAGAGCCAGACUCAACUCAAGCCUUGAGCCAUAUAGAUGAUUAGUACACUACAAUGAUGCAAGAGUUGAUCCAAAAAACCAAAUGAAUGCUAAUAGACUUGCAAUUCGUCACUCAAGCAGUUACUUUGGUGACUCCAGUCUUUAGCUUUCACAAAUAGCGCCUGCAUAUUAUAAAUUUUGGUCUCAACCGUCAGAUUCUUCUCGUUCGGAAACCUAGCUUCUUUUUCAUGUGAUCUGGGCAACAUCAACUCCACUGGAUGUUUUAUUUCAUUUAUGAAUGUUGCCGGCCUUGCUUUUCUCAUACCUGAUGAUAGUAAAUAAUUUCUUACUCUUGGAUUCAUCAGAUACUUUUGGCUUUAACACUGUUACAAUGUUGGGUGCCUCUGGCUUCAUUGCAUAAGCAUGACGGCUGUCAGUCAUCUUAGGCUUCAAGAAUCUUCUGAUAGUAUCACUUGUAACACCAGUGUUCUCCUUCUUGGGUUUAGACAAUGGAGACACUGACCCCAGUCAUCUUAGGCCCCAAGAAUCUUCUGAUAGUAUCACUUGUAACACCAGUGUUCUUCUUGGGUUUAGACAAUGGAGAUACUGACCCAACUCAUCCUGUUUCCAGCCUAGUGGCUUCCAGUAUUUGAUUAAUUUGCUGGAUUUGGAUUUGUGAGAAUCAGUGGAGCCAAACACGGAUGCAGAUUUGGGGGGAACCUUUGUCGAGGAGAUGAACUUUGCUGAAUCACUUGGUUUCCUGGUUUCUACAAGGCACAUUGUGACUGAGCAAGGAUGCUACCACCUCUAGCAGCAAGAAUCAGUGGAGCCAAACAUGGAUGCAGAUUUGGGGGGAACCUUUGUCGAGGAGAUGAACUUUGCUGAAUCACUGGGUUUCCUAGUUUCUACGAGGCACAUUGUGACUGAGCAAGGAUGCUACCACCUCUAGCAGCAAUAUUCUAUUGCGCCUGCGUCCUAGGAGGUUCCAGUCAUUUGAUGUAUUAUCCUUCCUCAAGACCAAAAGUCCAGAGCUAUAAUAUUCCUAUGAACAAAGCAGAUGAAACAAAAUGAAACUUCUGAAUUAAAACUUCCAACAUAAACCCUAUGUAAACAGACACAAACACAAGAAACUAUGCAUAUAUGGUACAACAUGAAACAAAUAUGGUGAGACUACAAAUCAAUAACACAACGACUAACCCUCUCUUCCAUCAUGCAAAUUUGCAUCUUCCCCAUCAGGCUGAUUGAAAUUCUCCAUUUGAAGACAUCUUCCAGUUUGAUGUGAUAUAUAGAUACGAAUUACUAAACUAAAACGGAGAACUAGACCAAAAUCAGAAUCUAUGAAUGGCAGAGAACUGAGUCUGGUUGGUUAGACAUUGCUUUAUCUGCUUCAAUGUCAAGGCAUGGCUUGUUUUGUGCUUUCGCUUCCACAAUUUCUUAUGCCUUAUUCAAGCAUCAUCAUAACAUUGAUAAAUUUAACAUCAC